rnacentral:rRNA from 1 species
GACGAACGCUGGCGGCGUGCUUAACACAUGCAAGUCGAACGGAAAGGCCCUGCUUUUGUGGGGUGCUCGAGUGGCGAACGGGUGAGUAACACGUGAGUAACCUGCCCUUGACUUUGGGAUAACUUCAGGAAACUGGGGCUAAUACCGGAUAGGAGCUCCUGCUGCAUGGUGGGGGUUGGAAAGUUUCGGCGGUUGGGGAUGGACUCGCGGCUUAUCAGCUUGUUGGUGGGGUAGGGGCUUACCAAGGCUUUGACGGGUAGCCGGCCUGAGAGGGUGACCGGCCACAUUGGGACUGAGGUACGGCCCAGACUCCUACGGGAGGCAGCAGUGGGGAAUAUUGCACAAUGGGCGCAAGCCUGAUGCAGCAGCGCCGCGUGCGUGAUGACGGCCUUCGGGUUGUAAACCGCUUUCGCCUGUGACGAAGCGUGAGUGACGGUAAUGAGUAAAGAAGCACCGGCUAACUACGUG